rnacentral:rRNA from 1 species
AUAAUUUAAGACUGGAAUGAAAGAGUCAACCUAAGAGAAAUUAUUUUUUAUUUAACAUUCAAACUUUACUUUUUAGUAAAAAGGCUAAAAUAAUUUUUAUAGACAAGAAGACCCUGUAAAACUUUACAUAUUAAUAUUUUAAAAAUAAAAAUUAUGUUCAGCUGGGGCGGCAAAAGAUCCAAACAUUUUUAAAAAAAAAUAAAAUUUUAAAAUACCCAGAAUUUCUGAAAAUUAAUCAAGCUACUUCAGGGAUAACAGCGUUAUAUAUUUUUAAAGACCAUAUUGACAAAUAUGUUUGCGACCUCGAUGUUGGAUUGU